AUGGAUUUUUUGGUCCAUCAUUUUUAUGCUGGAACAGUUUCUUUUUUUGCUGGAACCUUGUUUAGAUUUUGCUACAAUCAAGAGGAUGGUGGUGUCGUCACCGCCGUGAUUUUUUGCUGCAUCAAUUCUUUUUUAGAACCACUCCUGAUUUUUUUGCUACUACCAGCUUUGUGUUUUGCUGGAACCACCGGCGAUUUUUGUUACUGCCAUUUUGCAGGUUUUGCUGGGACAACGAAUUUUUGUUACCACCAUCUGUUUUUCUUGCUGGAACUAGUGUCUUUUUUUGCUACCACCGGCUCGGCUGGCAAACGACGCCGUGGGCCGCAUUAG
rnacentral:rRNA from 1 species